rnacentral:rRNA from 1 species
UACGUAGGGUGCGAGCGUUGUCCGGAAUUACUGGGCGUAAAGCGCGUGUAGGCUGCUCCGAUAGUCGGAUGUGAAAGCCCUGGGCUCAACCUAGGAAGUGCAUUCGAUACUGCGGAGCUGGAGUCCUGGAGAGGAAGGCGGAAUUCUCGGUGUAGAGGUGAAAUUCGUAGAUAUCGAGAGGAACACCGGUGGCGAAGGCGGCCUUCUGGACAGUGACUGACGCUGAGACACGAAAGCCAGGGGAGCAAACGGG